UUUUUUGUUUAAGUUCUAGGGUACAUGUGCACAACGUGCAGGUUUGUUACAUACGUAUACAUGUGCCAUGUUGGUGUGCUGCACCCAUUAACUCGUCAUUCACAUUAGGUAUACCUCCUAACGCUAUCGCUCCCAUCGGCGGUGCCUGUAUUUCUGAGCUACGUGGCAGGCUGAGUGAGGCUAAAUCACUUGAACCCGGGAAGCGGAGCUUGCAGUGAGCCGAGAUUGCGUCACUGUACUCCAGCUGGGGCAACAGAGUGAGACUUUGUCUCAAAAAAAAAAAAAGAUGUAAGUUAAGGUGAGGUCAUACUAGAGUAGGGUGGCCCCUUCGUCCGAUAUGACUGGUGUCCUUUGAAGGAGAGGGGAGCCGGCAGCACAGAGGCGAGACUGCCACGUGAAGACACGGAGCUGAUGGCCCUGUGAGGAGGGAGGCCGAGUUUGGAGCUGCGCAUGGACCAGCGUAGAAGAGCUGAGGGUCGUCCGAGACGACCAGAAGCUGGGGGAGAGCGAGUGCGGCAGACACUGCUGGCCUCUGGAACUAUGAGAGAAAUGGUGGUGGUUCUUUUGUGAAAAUGCGUUAUAGCAGCCACAGAAAACUACAAGGCUCCUCUCCCAGCCUCGGCUUUCGUUUGCUGGUCUGGAGGGUAAGGGUGCCGGCCGUACCAUCCAGACACUUGCGGCCUUGCACGUGGGGCCUCCUCAGGGAUUUGCCUUGACUGCCCCGGUCUCAGCCGCCACUGAGGGCAAGUGGCGGGAGCCCCUGAAAAGUGCUGUCGCUGCAAGGCUCCCUCCCUGAGAGGCCUCUGCCUUCUGGGAGGUGCAGCUGCCCUGCAGAGGACUGAGGCGGGGUCCACCAGAGAAGGCUGGCUUGAUCCUCUCCCCUGGUCUCAGCCCCUGUGGGCACUAUCCGGCCUCGGAACUCGGGAGGUGGAUGUGGUCAGGCCCUUUCUCCAAGUCAGUUUGGUCCCACGUGUGCUCUGUUACACACAGUGUUACACACAGGGAUCUGUCCCUUCAGACAGCAGUUCUAGGCAAACCUCUGGGCACUGGUGGCCCCAAGAGGAGUCAUUUCCUGACCCUGUGGAACUCCCAGCUAAGCAAGACAGGCGUGUUGAAAUUCCAAGAUCACAUGGUAACUCUGUCAGUCGCUCCUGUUGUUUAUAUCAGUCACACACGUUAGAUUUAGAAGAGGUAGAAAACACAAGCGGCCAGGCGCAGUGGCUCACGCCUGUAAUCCCAGCACUUUGGGAGGCCGAGGUGGGUGGAUCAUGAGGUCAGGAGAUUGAGACCAUCCUGGCUAACACGGUGAAACCCCUUCUCUACUAAAAAUACAAAAAAUUAGCCAGGCGUGGUAGUGGGCACCUGUAGUGCCAGCUACUCAGGAGGCUGAGGCAGGAGAAUGGCAUGAACCCGGGAGGCGGAACUUCCAGUGAGCCGAGAUCGCGCCACUGAACUCCAGCCUAGGCAAGAGCAAGACUCUGUCUCAAAAAAAAAAAAAAAAGAAAAGACAACACACAGAAGGUGUAAUAGUUAAGGGUCUUUGAAAACCAAAUGACACAGUGCCCAUAUCCAACUGACUUAAUAAAGGACAAUGAUUGGCUCCUGGAACAAAAGGGGGAUGACUUCAGGAGAGGCUUGAUCCAGCAGUUUGUCUGGAGACCCGUUACCCAUUAUCUGCUUUCCCUCAGGGCUGGCCUUGUGCUCAGGCUCUCCUGUGAGGCUCUGGGAGCAGCUCAGUCUUCCCUUGGGGCUGCAGAGGGGCAGUGCCACCCCUGGGCUCGUGUUCCCCUGCUGGGAAUCCUAAGGAAGAGGGGGAAGCAUUCUCUUUUUCAGAAGCCCCAGAAAAUGUCUCCUCAAGACUCAGUGGCUCUAUUUGAUUUCUCCCACAUCCAUUAACUUGCUGCUCUUCUGGUGGGCAUGGAUGUGCGGUUGGAUUUCAGCCUAUCAGGGCCUGGCCUGGCCUGGAGCUGGGGAUGGGGUCAGUCCCACUCAAGUCACAGAUCUGGGAAUGGUGGUUCUCCUGGAGUAACAUCUGGGUGCUGUCAACACCAGGAGGGGGCAUCCAUGGUGGCCAGAAAACCCAGAACUGUCCGCUGAAUGGGCCAAAGGAGGGAAUUAAGAUCAGCCUUGGUGCCGCCACCCGUGGCCACCGUGGCACGGGGGCCUGUGCUUCCAGACCUGGGUGGUGCGUGGAAUGGUGAUGGUGACUAUGCAGAUACGCCGAGGGGAUGACGGCGUUCCCUGAGUGAUCACUGCGCCCCAAGCUCGGUGCUCAGCACUGCUCCACACACAUUGAGCCACUGAAUCCUCAGCACCCUCUUGGGGCCACCAGUGCCCAGAGGUCUGCCUAGAACUGCUGUGUCUGAAGGGACAGAUCCCUCUGUGUGUGACACUCUGUGUGUAACACUCUGUCUGUAACAGAGCACACGUGGGACCAAACUGACUUGGAGAAAGGGCCUGACCACAUCCACCUCAGUUCAGUUAUUGGACAGAGGUUUACAGAGCCCCUGUUCUGUGCUGGUCGUUGGCAUGGGUAGGAGAUGGAGACGACUCCCCAUCAUGGGCUGUGUUCUUGCAGGCUUUCCCCAUGUUACAGGUGUGAACACUGAGGCCCAGAGAAAUGAGGCCGCACAGCUGGAAUGUUGCAGAUCUGAGAUCCAACCCCAGGGCCUUUUACUCCAAAACGUGUGUGCUUAAUGUGUGUCUAUACAUGCUGGUGAGUUUUCUUUUUAAACAGCUGAUCGCCCUCAGAUGCCCACUGCUGGCCUGUUUGGCUGCCCUUCUCCAGGCCAGCAGCCAAGACACAGUGCUGCCCGCAGGAGCGACCGACUGGGAGCCUUGAAACAGGUGGAGCCGGCGAAGCAGGGCCCUGAGCUGUGUGCAUGGGGCCUGGCUGCAGAUGGCCCAGUGAAGGCUCCAUGCAUUUCCAUUUUUGAAGCUUGAGCCCUUUCUUCUCCAUGAGGCUGACCCACUAGGCCGGCUUGGUCACACACUAGCUGUGCAGUUCUAGCUUAGUUACUUUACCUCUCUGGGUCUCGGUUUACUCAUCUGCAACGGGUCGGCAAACUACCACCCUCAGCCCGAAUCCAGUCUGCUGCCUGUUUUUGUAAAUAAAGCUUUAUUGGCACACAGCCAUGCUCACUCAUUCACAGAGCAGCUGCAGCUGCUUUUGCACAGGGCAAGAGACCCUGUGGCCCGCAAAGCCUGAAGCCCCUCUAUGUGGCCCUUUCCGGAAAACCUGCCAAUCCCUGACCUAGCAGAUGGAUGAUUGUAUGCCGGAGAGUGUAGGCUCUGAGAGGGCAGGGCUGUGUCUGUGGCUCUCACCAGAGUGUCCCCUCCCUGUCACCAACCCAUGGGGCCGUUGCAAGACUCGGAGAGAAACCGUGUCCAGUGUCGAGCAGAAGGCACACAGUGCGUGCUCAGUAACCUCCAGCUUUGGUUCCUCCCGUGAUUAAACAAAGGCAAGGAGGACUGCCCCGAGAGGCUCAGAGGGCCCGGGGUCUGGAAUAGGAGCUGAUCCUUGGGUUAGACCACUCGGCUCUUAAAGCGGCUGCCGGUUGAGAGGCUUGUCUCAGCUGCCGCUAGGUGCAAAUUAAAAGGAUUAAUGGACACCGCCGUCUUUGAAAGGCUGAAGGCCCACCGAAGCCCCUUCAGCAGAGGGCUCUGCAUUCUCUCUUCCCCAGUCCUCCUUGUGUGCCCCCGUGAGUGGCGGUGACAAUGCUCCCGGAUGUGGGCCCCAAGGCCAGCGGCCCCGGAGCUGCCUGCCCACCCGUCCGCCGGCUAUUGUCUGCUCCGGCCUGGCGGUGUGGCGCUGGGCUUGUGGGGCCCCAGCGGGCAGGGGACUGUGGGAACGGAUUAGAGGUCCUGGGCUUGCUUUCCUCGUCUUGCAUAAACUCUUGAUCAAAGACAUUCCUGGGAUGACAGAGCCCUGUGAGCUGCGAGGCUGGCCCAGCGUGCGGGACGCACACCCCAUGCUGCAGCCCCUGCACAGGCCUGCCCUCGCUGGCCCUCGCUGGCCCUGGCUGCAGUGCUGACUCUGGGGACUAGCCUUAUGGUGGGACUGGUGAUGGAGCGGGUGCCAGGAGGCACCACAGCCUUCCCCACCAGAUUCAGAGGCCAGACCCUCGAUGCUGGGCGGAGUGAGGCUGUGACUCUGCUUCCUGGGGUGCUUCAAGGAGGGUCACGCUGCAUGCAGGGUGGCUGGAGGGAGUGCCAGCUGCAUGCCACUGCCACUGGGCCUGGCUUCUCUGGGCUCCCACGGGCACUGCCCCAUCCUCUGCAACAGCCCCGUCCACUGUUAUCCCACAGCAUGCCCGCUCUGCCCAGCCUCCUUCCUCUGUCCCCUCGGGGACUCUCACUCCUCAUGACAACUCUAGGUGUUGUCUGGGCCCCCGGGGAACCCCCGGCCCUUCCAGCCAUGGAGUCAGCUCCUGGCACGCGGAUCAGGUUGGACCCAUGGAUCUGCAACGCAGCCCAGCAGCUUGGGGCUGCCCUGUGGGAGCCGACACGACCUCCCUUCCAUUUGGCCCCCUUCCUAGGACCCACUGCUUGCCAGGGUGGGGAGAAGGGAGGCAGAGAGGAAUCAGGGAGAUUUCCAUCCUGGAGGGACUCAGCCGGAGCAGGAAGGCGCCCAGGUAUGACAAUCCCAGACUCCCAGAGCCACCUGCCUGGUGUGGGGUGGGGAAGCCUCUAGAGAGCCCACCCUCAGAGUGAGUGCAGAGGUGAAGGUUCCUGUGGACCAAGGCGGUGGGCCAGGCACGGAACAGGAAGCUUGAUGCAGUCUGGUGUGUCAGGAGCUCCUGGGCAAAGACAUCGAGCUUACUGGGGCUCAAGGCUGGGUAGAGAUGGGGCUGAGUCCCAAGGACCUUGGACGGAGCUGACGGGAGAUAGGAAGGCCGGGGGUUGGGGGCAGAAGAUGAAGAAUAGAUGAGGACUGUGCCUGCAGGGACAUGGGCCAGGAGGCAGGGCAGGGCCCCUCGUGAGCGGGUGGUGGGGCACCUGAGAACAGGCUUUUGAGAAGGGGCUGCAGGGAGAGCUGACUGUGGAAGGCUUCGUCUCUGAAGUUCCUCAAAGGUCAGUUUUUUACCAUCACCCUCUGGGCAGCGCAGAUACCCCAACAAGGGACGAGGGCUUCACUGCAUCCCAGGCGGGGUUGCAGGCCCCAAAGUGAUGUCAGUGGAGUUUGAGAGUUGGGAACAGGGGCCCAGAGUAGCCAGACCAUGCCUUUGAUAUGGCUUGGCUGUGUCCCCACCCAAAUCUCAUCUUGAAUCGUAGCUCCCAUAAUUCCCACGUGUGUGGGAGGGACCCGGGGGGAGAUAAUUGAAUCAUGGGAGCGGUUCCCCCCAUACUGUUCCCAUGGCAGUGAAUAAGUCUCAUGAGCUCUGAUGGUUUUACAGCGGUUUCCCCUUUCAUUUGGCUCUCAUUCUCUCUUGCCUGCCUCCAUGUAAGAUGUGCCUUUUGCCUUCUGCCAUGAUUGUGAGGCCUCUCCAGCUACGUAGAACUGUGAGCCUAUUAAACUUCUUUUUCUUUAUAAAUUACUCAGUCUUGGGUAUGUCUUUGUUAGCAGCAUGAAAACGGACUAAUACAGCCUUGGAGCUCGUGGCAUGACCACGAUGUAUAGACAGACCCACCCUUCACUGGGGGGGUGUACAGACCCCCCCAUUGUGGCACAGCCAGGGGUGGGGGGACCGGGGGAUGUACAGACCCCUCCAUCGUGGCACAGCCGGUGGGGGGGGGACCGGGGGAUGUACAGACCCCCCCAUCGUGGCACAGCCGGGGUGGGGGUUGUACACAUCCCACUAUCAAGGGAUGCCACAGAUGCCGGGACAGAGAUCUGUGGCUGUGGGGGAGCUCACAACCGUUUCACUCUGGGCCCGAGCCCUCUCUAUACACUUGGCUGUGAACACAGCUGACCCACUCAGGGCCCCUGCCCUGCCCUGCCAGCCUGCCUGAGUCCCACGCUCGGCAAAGUGGCUCUCCAGCUUCUUGCCCACAUCCUUGCUCAAACCUAACAGGAUCCGAUGGCUACCUUGCCUCCUCCGUGAAACAACCAAAGGUGCCCUGUGCGAUGGUUGGAACUCUGUGCACAGGCCUUCUGCUACACCCAUGUGCUCUCGGGGGAGGAAUGUAAACCCAGCUGCAGGCUGGGGGCGGGGACAUGGCUUCCCUAGGACCCCAGCCCUGACACAGGACCUGGCCCUUGCCCAGAACUGAACAGCCACAAUAGUGCAGACCUGGUCCCUGCCUUCAGAGUAAUUUGCCCAAAGAGCAAGGAGCUGCACCUUGUAAGCCACCUGAGUGGCCACCAGUGUCACUUCUGGCUCCGACUAUCCCUUGAGCUCUUGCUGAGGUGACCUGUCAGGGGCACCCUGCAGGCUCCCCCACCCACUCCAUAUGGGACUCCCUUGGGGAAGGCUCCCGGAGCCCCCACCCUCAGGGGAGAGGCUGGUGGAGACCUAUAGGGGCCGAGUGUUUCCCUCCACACCCCACCUUCCUCCCAGGGCAGGCGCCUGUGGAGCCAACACACUAACCACCCGGGCUCCACUUUCCGCCCUGGAAGGAGUGCUCUACAAGGCAGGAAGGGUAGACAGCAGGUGCUUCAUAAAGGCCAGAGAUUCGACCUGCAGCUGACAAGUAGUAACCAUCAGUGGCGUGGGACCUGAGCUUCCACUUGGCUUGGGGUAAGGACAGACCACCCUCACAGAUGGGUCCGGGAGCAGUGACCAAGGUCCGCGGACACCUCCCCAGGGCACUCCCACGACCCACCUCCACCCCGGGGUCUGAAGUUAGGUUCAGUCACGUGCACCUGAAAUCCAUAAGUGGACGUCAUGGGCACCCUCUAAGGCAGCCUCUAGGUCUCCACAAUCCCAGUGAAAGGCCACCCUGGAUCACAGCCCUGACACGGUGCUUUGCUCUCCUGGAGCCUGGCGUUGCCAAAGGAUCAUGAUUCAUCCAGAGCAAACAGCAGUUUGUGCCAGAAGAGGGUUAACAAAUGCCGGCUUUAUUUAUUUUCCUAUCUGCAAAUAACCUGAGAAGACAAACUGGUGGGGCAAGCAAGGGAUGGAAGAUGUUCCCAAUCAAUGGGCACCACUCACGUCACCCAGGCUGGAGCUGUUGUCUCGCGUGGUUGGAGGUGGGCUCACCCAGCCAGGCUGCCUGCAAACUAUUCUUUGGAGCCUCCCCGGGACAGGAGUCCCCCUCCCACCUCCCACACCUGUGCUCAGGGGUUCCUCCCAGUUGGGAAGGGUGUGCCUGCUCCUGGCUGGAUUCUGUCCCCACCCCCGGGGAUGUGGCAGUGUCAGGAGACAUUCUUGGUUGUCACAGCGGGUGGCGUGACUGUCAUCCUGUGGGUGGAGGUCAGGAUGCUGCUGAACUUCCCGCAGUGCACAGGACAGGCUGUGGCCUCCCGCAUCUGCCGAGCCUGCCACCCUGCCCUGGUUCUGGGGCACCGGGACACGCGCCCCUGGCUCACAGCCAGUCCAGGAAGCAAACAGGCAGGCGCCAUGCUGGGGUUUUACCAGUUUUAUUUCUAGACUUUCACGUUUGUCUUUUUGUCUUCUGCUGGAAACAUGCCGGUUACAUGUUGGUGCUGGGAAGCGCCGCGGUGCAACCAGAAACACACGGACCCAGCCGCCCGCCGCCCAGACCCUCAGACUUGCGCGUCACAGGACAGACUCCACUGUGCCCCGUGCACUUGCCACCAGCCUUUGGCCUCUCGAUACACACAACAUCCAGGACUUGUGCCCUUGCCCCAUCACGACAGACAAAGCGUCCCUCAAGGCCCCCGCGUGGUUCAGACAGACGCCGCAGCCAGGAUGGUUGAGCUACACGCAAAGAAUGACACAGCUGUAAAAACUAUGAUGAUGAUACGCCCCCGAUCAGAUGAAGAGCCCAGCAUCACAGGCGCAGGGAAGAGAAGGUGGACACAGCCUGGUCUCCAGGGACACCGGCACGGUUCUCACGCACGCGGCCUCGGGGCCGGCCCCCACCAGCCUGUGUGGGAUCGCGCCCGCGUGUCUGCCCGCCGAAGCAGACAGAACCUGCCCGCUGGGUCCACCAUGGCUAAGUGAAGCAUGAGGUAUUGUGAAACAGGAACCUUUUUGGAAUAGAGCAGUAAUCACAUUAAGUCAAAAUUGAUCACAUAAAAAAAAAAAAAAACUACAAAAAAGGCAUCUGUAAUACAA